rnacentral:rRNA from 1 species
GAUGAACGCUGGCGGCGUGCCUAAUACAUGCAAGUCGAGCGAACGGACGAGAAGCUUGCUUCUCUGAUGUUAGCGGCGGACGGGUGAGUAACACGUGGAUAACCUACCUAUAAGACUGGGAUAACUUCGGGAAACCGGAGCUAAUACCGGAUAAUAUUUUGAACCGCAUGGUUCAAAAGUGAAAGACGGUCUUGCUGUCACUUAUAGAUGGAUCCGCGCUGCAUUAGCUAGUUGGUAAGGUAACGGCUUACCAAGGCAACGAUGCAUAGCCGACCUGAGAGGGUGAUCGGCCACACUGGAACUGAGACACGGUCCAGACUCCUACGGGAGGCAGCAGUAGGGAAUCUUCCGCAAUGGGCGAAAGCCUGACGGAGCAACGCCGCGUGAGUGAUGAAGGUCUUCGGAUCGUAAAACUCUGUUAUUAGGGAAGAACAUAUGUGUAAGUAACUGUGCACAUCUUGACGGUACCUAAUCAGAAAGCCACGGCUAACUACGUGCCAGCAGCCGCGGUAAUACGUAGGUGGCAAGCGUUAUCCGGAAUUAUUGGGCGUAAAACGCGCGUAGGCGGUUUUUUAAGUCUGAUGUGAAAGCCCACGGCUCAACCGUGGAGGGUCAUUGGAAACUGGAAAACUUGAGUGCAGAAGAGGAAAGUGGAAUUCCAUGUGUAGCGGUGAAAUGCGCAGAGAUAUGGAGGAACACCAGUGGCGAAGGCGACUUUCUGGUCUGUAACUGACGCUGAUGUGCGAAAGCGUGGGGAUCAAACAGGAUUAGAUACCCUGGUAGUCCACGCCGUAAACGAUGAGUGCUAAGUGUUAGGGGGUUUCCGCCCCUUAGUGCUGCAGCUAACGCAUUAAGCACUCCGCCUGGGGAGUACGACCGCAAGGUUGAAACUCAAAGGAAUUGACGGGGACCCGCACAAGCGGUGGAGCAUGUGGUUUAAUUCGAAGCAACGCGAAGAACCUUACCAAAUCUUGACAUCCUUUGACAACUCUAGAGAUAGAGCCUUCCCCUUCGGGGGACAAAGUGACAGGUGGUGCAUGGUUGUCGUCAGCUCGUGUCGUGAGAUGUUGGGUUAAGUCCCGCAACGAGCGCAACCCUUAAGCUUAGUUGCCAUCAUUAAGUUGGGCACUCUAAGUUGACUGCCGGUGACAAACCGGAGGAAGGUGGGGAUGACGUCAAAUCAUCAUGCCCCUUAUGAUUUGGGCUACACACGUGCUACAAUGGACAAUACAAAGGGCAGCGAAACCGCGAGGUCAAGCAAAUCCCAUAAAGUUGUUCUCAGUUCGGAUUGUAGUCUGCAACUCGACUACAUGAAGCUGGAAUCGCUAGUAAUCGUAGAUCAGCAUGCUACGGUGAAUACGUUCCCGGGUCU